AACGAACGCUGGCGGCAUGCCUAACACAUGCAAGUCGAACGAGACCUUCGGGUCUAGUGGCGCACGGGUGCGUAACGCGUGGGAACCUGCCCUUAGGUUCGGAAUAACUCCCCGAAAGGGGUGCUAAUACCAGAUAAUGUCUUCGGACCAAAGAUUUAUCGCCUUUGGAUGGGCCCGCGUUGGAUUAGCUAGUUGGUAGGGUAAAAGCCUACCAAGGCGACGAUCCAUAGCUGGUCUGAGAGGAUGAUCAGCCACACUGGGACUGAGACACGGCCCAGACUCCUACGGGAGGCAGCAGUGGGGAAUAUUGGACAAUGGGCGAAAGCCUGAUCCAGCAGUGCCGCGUGAGUGAUGAAGGCCUUAGGGUUGUAAAGCUCUUUUACCCGGGAUGAUAAUGACAGUACCGGGAGAAUAAGCUCCGGCUAACUCCGUG
rnacentral:rRNA from 1 species